GACGAACGCUGGCGGCGUGCUUAACACAUGCAAGUCGAACGGUGACGGGGAGCUUGCUCCCCUGAUCAGUGGCGAACGGGUGAGUAACACGUGGGCAAUCUGCCCCUGACUUCGGGAUAACGCUUCGAAAGAGGUGCUAAUACCGGAUAUGAACCUCGCAGGCAUCUGCGAGGUUGGAAAGUUUCUCGGUCAGGGAUGAGCCCGCGGCCUAUCAGCUAGUUGGUGAGGUAAUGGCUCACCAAGGCGACGACGGGUAGCCGGCCUGAGAGGGCGACCGGCCACACUGGGACUGAGACACGGCCCAGACUCCUACGGGAGGCAGCAGUGGGGAAUAUUGCGCAAUGGGCGAAAGCCUGACGCAGCAACGCCGCGUGAGGGAUGACGGCCUC
rnacentral:rRNA from 1 species